AGUGAACGCUGGCGGUAGGCCUAACACAUGCAAGUCGAACGGCAGCACAGUAAGAGCUUGCUCUUACGGGUGGCGAGUGGCGGACGGGUGAGGAAUACAUCGGAAUCUACUUUUUCGUGGGGGAUAACGUAGGGAAACUUACGCUAAUACCGCAUACGACCUCCGGGUGAAAGCAGGGGAUCUUCGUACCUUGCGCGAUUGAAUGAGCCGAUGUCGGAUUAGCUAGUUGGCGGGGUAAAGGCCCACCAAGGCGACGAUCCGUAGCUGGUCUGAGAGGAUGAUCAGCCACACUGGAACUGAGACACGGUCCAGACUCCUACGGGAGGCAGCAGUGGGGAAUAUUGGACAAUGGGCGCAAGCCUGAUCCAGCCAUACCGCGUGGGUGAAGAAGGCCUUCGGGUUGUAAAGCCCUUUUGUUGGGAAAGAAAAGCAGCAGGUUAAUACCCCGCUGUUCUGACGGUACCCAAAGAAUAAGCACCGGCUAACUUCGUG
rnacentral:rRNA from 1 species